rnacentral:rRNA from 1 species
UACGUAGGGUGCAAGCGUUAAUCGGAAUUACUGGGCGUAAAGCGUGCGCAGGCGGUUUUGUAAGUUUGUCGUGAAAUCCCCGGGCUCAACCUGGGAAUGGCGAUGAAGACUGCAAGGCUAGAAUCUGGCAGAGGGGGGUAGAAUUCCACGUGUAGCAGUGAAAUGCGUAGAGAUGUGGAGGACACCGAUGGCGAAGGCAGCCCCCUGGGUCAAGAUUGACGCUCAUGCACGAAAGGCGUGGGGAGCAACAGG